rnacentral:tRNA from 1 species
GAAGGUAUGGCUUAGUGGUAGAGCGUGUGCUCAGCAUGCAUGAGGUCCUUGGGUUCAAUCCCCAGUACCUCCA